ensembl:lncRNA
CUGGUUGUCUUCCUCCUAGGCCCAAAGGUGCUGCUGGCCAUCGUGGUCUCUGCUAUCUAUGUCCACAGGAAGCGGAGGGCCUGACUUUCCUACCUUCCUUUGCUGAUCCUGCCGCCUUCAAUCUCUGUUGUUUCUUUCCUUCCCUGAAGAGCCCAGCCUAAGAAAAGAAGAUGACUAGAACCGUCCAAGACUGCUCCAAAUGCCUCCCGUCCCUGGAGACCUGCCUGCUCACACUCUCCUGCUGCUUGUUCUCACAGUCCUUGAUGCCCCCAGAGUUGGGUCUUCAUAUGUGCUCCUGAGUGGGGGCCAUGGUAACUACCUCUGGGGACUGACUCCUCACCUUCCUGGAAUGUGAGAAACAAGUCAAAUCUACACAUAGCAGGAUGUCUCUCAUCCCUCGCCUUGGGACUUGGCCAUGAACUACACACUCAUGUCCAUGCAUCAAGAGUUAUUCUACCUUCUAGAUCCCUGCCUACCCCUCAUUCUCCAGCCUUGUUGAGGUUUUCUACUGCCUCUUGAGGUCAAAUGAACAUCCUUCUUGAUUCUUUUUUUCCUGAAGUAGAUUGGCGCUGAGCUAACAUCUGUGCUCAUCUUCCUUUAUUUGUAUGUGGAUCGCUGAUGAGCGGUGCAUAGGUCCAAGCCCAGGAUCCGAACCUGUGAACCUCAGGUCCCCGAAGUGGAGUGUGAGAAUUUAACCACUGUGCAACCUGGCCAGCCCCCUACCAGAUCCUGACUUUAAGAAGAGAAAUUAUUUUCCUUCCCUGUUGCCUAAACAUCCUACUCCUCAAAUCCAGAAAGAACAUUUCCCUCCUCUCUCUGUGAUGUAAACUCUAAAUUCUUCCAUCCUCUUGCAUCCUUCCCAGCCCUGUUGCUCAUGGUCCACAUGCUGUCAGUCCAAAUGCCAUGGAGUCAUCUUUGAUUUCUCUUUAUCCAUAUCCCAUCUUCAAUUCUACCUUCAACAUGCUUAUGUGUAGUGGUGAGAUGGCAAAUAUUAAACAAUUGAUUCUCCAAAAGAAAAAAAGCCUUGAUUUCUAGUGCUUGCCAAUUUCUGUGGUGUAAACACUGCCAAUGAGGCCAAUUGAAGCUGCCAGCAGUUUAACUUCCAUAAACCACCCUAUAUGAAAUAUCAGUUCCUCUCUCUCACCUGCCAUUCCAAUUCCUCUUGACCUGAUUGGUCUGGUUCCUUAGCACUUACUACCAUCUCACAUACUAAACAUGGCAGUGCUCACUUUGCACGGUAGUGCAGGACCGUAAGAAUGACCUGCAAACUGAAACCAUGGAAAAUGACCUCAAUACUCAAUGGAACUAAUAAUGAUUGUGCUGUGUGUGACCUUUAAAAUUUUCCCCCAAACAUUAGAAACUCUCUUAGUGUCAGUUUUAAAUGUAGAGGAAAAUGAAAAAAUAGAAAAACUAAUAUUGAUUUAGUGUACUUUCACUUGAAUCAUGAGAAACAUUGAGAAUGAAAGUAUUUUAUUUAUUUGUGAAAACGUAUCAAGAGCAGUUUGAACAGUGUUUACUUUCUUCUUGUUGAGUAAUUUACAAUAUAGAGCGAGCAUCUUUCCUCUGCCUGUGUGAGUCAUCAGACUCUUUUCUAAGUUUGUAUCAGCCUCCCUUGUGCUCUCACUGUUGUGAAAUCUUUACAAAGUUCCUUUAAGUUGAAGUAUUUGCUAAUGUCACUGCCUCUGGGACAUUUUCACCCUUUUCCUCAGCACCACUUCCCUCAUUUAU